UACGGAGGGUGCAAGCGUUGUCCGGAUUUAUUGGGUUUAAAGGGUGCGUAGGUGGCUUUUUAAGUCAGUGGUGAAAGCCUGCAGCUUAACUGUAGGACUGCCAUUGAUACUGAGGGGCUUGAGUACUGAUGAGGUAGGCGGAAUUGAUAGUGUAGCGGUGAAAUGCAUAGAUAUUAUCAAGAACACCGAUUGCGAAGGCAGCUUACUAAGGAGUUACUGACACUGAGGCACGAAAGCGUGGGGAUCAAACAGG
rnacentral:rRNA from 1 species